CGUUCAAAGAAUCGUCCGUGGUUGCGC
rnacentral:sRNA from 1 species